CUCGACAACAAAUUACUCUAUAGUAUAAGCGGCUACAAGCUGCCUCCUGAUGGUCAACAUGCCUGCUUCAUUCAGGGGUAUUUUUGUCCUUCGACACACAGUUACACGCGGCGUUAAUUGUGCUACUGCUUAAUACUGGCCUUCUCACAUGAAACCGCCAUAUCUUCGAUGUCUUCUUCUCGGCAGUUGCUCUGCUUUUGGCGGUGAUACUUAGAUCUGGAGACGUGUUUCUUUGUUGAAUCUUGAUUGUUGGCCGAAUUUAUUUCUUUUUUGUGUCAUUUAACGUCUUGGAAUGUAUGUAUGUUCGGAUUUGAGCUUCGUUUUUCUCCUGCAUGAUAUAUUCUUGUGUGUUUCAACUGUAAGUUUGUCUUUUCCUGUCUCAUGUUUCUUCAAGCGGUGCUUUAACAUAUCUAUAUGUCUAUCUGCAUCUCAAUUUAGAGGGUCUCACAGCUUUACCAGCAAUUUCUUCCUCCUAAUUUGUGAUUUUCUGCUUUCAAUUUGGGAUCUCCUCCUUCGGAUCGGUCUUUCGUUCGACCAAGAUUUUGUUCGACCUUUUUUCUUGAGCUCUCAAGAUAUACACUUUGUGAGUUCUCUUUUACUUUGAUUUGGAGUUUCCCCUCUCAGUUCGAUAUUGCCUCUUCCGCAGAUUUCAUUAUUAGUAUAAUUUGAUUUUUCCUUAUUUCUAUGGAAUUUGAUGGAAUUUUCGUUUCUCCUGGGUUUACAGUUUUGACCUUUUGAAAAGGAAAUCAUAAAUAACAUGGAAACGGUUGUUUGUUGAGAAAAUCAUUUUGCUCCGCUUGAAUUUUUUUAUGAAUAUUUAAACGCUAUACACAUGCACUGAACUUUUAGCUUCAAUUGUUAGUUUGCUUGAAAUUUUAUGCCCUUCCGUAAUAUUUUUAAGCACUUUCUCCAAUAAAUAGGUGGUAGAAUUAAAGUUUGAAUGACUAUACUACUGAGGAUGGAUCUACAGUGAUGGCUGCGGGUUGGCGGAACAUAAAUUUAUAUUUCUGUAUCAUAAUAUCUUCCAAGUUAAUGCUCGGAUAUAGCUUCAGUUUCUAAAGAAGUGAUUUUCCAGUAGACAUAAAUUAGAGAUUUUUGCUUGCCUCCCUCCUUCCCAUGUUUGUUUUGCUUCCAACGAGAGAAAAAAGAAAAGUGAUAAACAGAGAGAGAGAGCUAAUAAGAGUUCAAUGAUGUGAAGUGACAAAAGAAAUGAGUAUGUGCUUAGUUGGACACCGAGAAGUCAUUUUUCCCCAAUUCUCGCAUAUCUUUGUCAGGUUUGUUGCAAAUUUUGAAUCUUUAUGUAGUAUUUGAAAUGGAGUUUUGUAAGUUUUGCUUAAAUUUAUGUCUUUUGUAUUUUUGGUUCUGUUUUCUGAUUUCGGAUUUAUCUGAUUUUUGUGUCUUUUGGGUUGUUUUUGAUCUGUUUCAAGUAUUAUUUUGUCCACAAAAAGAAUUUUAAAUUAUCUAUUUUUUCCAAAUUUCAAUCAUUUGAUGGAAUUUUAUGAUUUGGUUUUGAUGCAUGUUGUAUGUUGUUUGUGUAGUUGGUGCAGAGAGGAAAGGAAGGACUUUGGUGGUUAGAUCUGAUAGGCGUUUGAGCUAUGGUUUGAAUGAACGUCUAGGAAGAGCUGAACAAUUAAUUACUAAUGCUAUUGCAGUUAGUGUUCUUUUACUCUCUAAUUACGAUUUUCUGUUUAUGCAUGCAUAUAGUCUCUCCCUUUCAAUUUGAUUUGCUAGACAAAUAAAAACAGGACAAAUUUACCCAAGUUCAUGCAUUUCUUCUGUCACCUGAAUGCAGGUUCUUCUGAUGAUUCUCUGGUAGUAUGUUCUUUGCCAUGUUGGCUUAUCGAUAUGUUAAUGUAUAUAUUAUUAUUACUAUAUUAUCAUAUAAAAUUGUCUACGAGCAGGCUGCUGGUGGUUGACAUGCGUGCUUCCUCACAGGGGAAAAUUGGUCAUUUUUUCGGUCAUUCAUUGCCUUCUAUUGGCUCACUCAAGCGGUGGUUUGCAAAUGAGUUACUUCUCGAUUGUUCCUCCUCUACAUUCUUCGUCUUCAUCACUAUAUUUCUUUCUAAUCUGCCUCACUGUAUUUCUUUCUGAAAUUAUCGCCACUUUUAUUUUACAUCUUCAGUUAUCUAUUCAAUUAAGAGCUUAAAUUAGUUUAGUUCUGCUCGUGAAGGAGAGGAUCAAGUAUACGAUGAAAGUGCUGACCAAGCUUCUUUCUUGAUUGAUCAUAGAAACGAAAUGGACGUAUUUAAUAUUUAAAAUCCAGAGUUCCGAAAUAUGUUUGGUCAGUGAUAGAUUGGAUAUGUAUUGUCUCGCAAAAAAAUGGUGCCUGCAAAAAGCCAAAACUCUUGUUGUUUUCUCAGGUAUCAGAAGAUAAUUUUUUUCUUUUUUUUGGUCAUUUUUUCGGUCAUUCAUUGCCUUCUAUUGGCUCACUCAAGCGGUGGUUUGCAAAUGAGUUACUUCUCGAUUGUUCCUCCUCUACAUUCUUCGUCUUCAUCACUAUAUUUCUUUCUAAUCUGCCUCACUGUAUUUCUUUCUGAAAUUAUCGCCACUUUUAUUUUACAUCUUCAGUUAUCUAUUCAAUUAAGAGCUUAAAUUAGUUUAGUUCUGCUCGUGAAGGAGAGGAUCAAGUAUACGAUGAAAGUGCUGACCAAGCUUCUUUCUUGAUUGAUCAUAGAAACGAAAUGGACGUAUUUAAUAUUUAAAAUCCAGAGUUCCGAAAUAUGUUUGGUCAGUGAUAGAUUGGAUAUGUAUUGUCUCGCAAAAAAAUGGUGCCUGCAAAAAGCCAAAACUCUUGUUGUUUUCUCAGGUGUGAUGUCUUUAUUCAUGCUUCAAGAUCUUAAAAUCUCUUUACAUUCAAGAUUUUGCAUGAACAAGAUAUCUGAUUUGCUCUCUGUCAAAGAGAGCUGCAAUUUGAGCAAGUUCACUGAAAAUUUGUAUUCCCAGUAAUUGAGCAACACAGAAAAUAUAUUUAAUAUUUGUGGACAUCUUGGGUGCAAUAAUAUUUUAAAAGUUUUGUUUGAUUCAUACUCAA